rnacentral:rRNA from 1 species
UACGUAGGGUGCAAGCGUUAAUCGGAAUUACUGGGCGUAAAGCGUGCGCAGGCGGUCCGUUAAGACAGAUGUGAAAUCCCCGGGCUUAACCUGGGAACUGCAUUCGUGACUGGCGGACUCGAGUAUGGCAGAGGGGGGUAGAAUUCCACGUGUAGCAGUGAAAUGCGUAGAGAUGUGGAGGAAUACCGAUGGCGAAGGCAGCCCCCUGGGCCAAUACUGACGCUCAUGCACGAAAGCGUGGGGAGCAAACAGG